rnacentral:rRNA from 1 species
UCCCGCCUGCCCAGUGACAUCCCCGUUCAACGGCCGCGGAAUCCUAACCGUGCGAAGGUAGCGCAAUCACUUGUCUCUUAAAUGAAGACCUGUAUGAAUGGCUAGACGAGGGCUCAACUGUCUCCUUUUUCAAGUCAAUGAAAUUGAUCUCCCCGUGCAGAAGCGGGGAUUUUCACAUAAGACGAGAAGACCCUGUGGAGCUUUAGACGCAAAACAGAAUCCGUCACUUACUCCCACAAUAAAGGCGCAAAACCACUAACCUAACCUGUUCUUACGUCUUCGGUUGGGGCGACCAUGGGGUAACAAAAACCCCCCACGCGGACUGAGAGCUCCCUCCCCCUCUUCCCACUCCUCCCAAAACCAAGAGCGACAGCUCUAACUAGCAGAAUUUCUGACCAUAAAUGAUCCGGCACAUGCCGAUCAACGGACCAAGUUACCCCAGGGAUAACAGCGCAAUCCCCUUUAAGAGACCCUAUCGACAAGGGGGUUUACGACCUCGAUGUUGGAUC